CUCAGCCUCACCCAGCUCUCUCUCUCUCUCUCUCUCUCUCUCUCUCUCUCUCUCUCUCUCUCUCUCUCUCUUCACCGCACACUAAAACCCAAGGUUCUCCUCCAUGCGCUGCCAUGGCAUAGCCUAACGCUACCGCUUCACCACUAGUAACUCCCCCUCCUUCAAGUGACUACCCCCUUGGACUCCAGUCAACCCUAGCUCCUCCAUCAUCCUCCAUGCACAAACUAUCUCCCAUUGGGUUUCUCCCUCUCACACGGCCAUAGCGCCGCCAUGAGCUAGCCCUGCUGCCACACCCACAACCUCCCAUAGCCUCCUAGCACCUCCUUCUUUCCUUGCGCAACCCGUAGUAGCUUGGAAUAGUAAUCCCAAAUCCUCCCUCUACAUGACAAGAUCUCUAGAUCCACCACCGUGCACUACCACCACCAGCUCCCCAACACUCCUUUAGCUCCUCCAUGCCCAGACUUGACCUCCCCAUAGCUCCCCCUCCAUUUUUCGUGCUUCGAGACCUACAACCCACACUUGGAAAACCACUGUCCGCCACUGCUCCUCCACUUUUGGCAUCACCCUUGAUCUUCCAAAAUUUCCUUCCACCAUUGUAAGUAAUUUUCCAAAGAACUUUAUGAGACUUGAAGAUAUUUUUGCACUAACAUAUUUUCUAAAGUCUGGUUGGUUGUCCUGGACUUUAAGUUCGAGGAGUAUGGAUGUCAUAUUGGAUUAGAGAAUGGGACUGUUUGUGAAAAUGGGUUUAUGCUUGGUGUUUUUAUGUUAUGCUUGAUAUCAUGAUAUUCAUUGCAUUAUUUCAUGCAUGUUUAGGUGUUAUAAAUCAAAAUUGAGUUUUCAUGCGAGAAAGGAUUUUUGGGUUCAUGUGUAUCACGACCCCAAUCCGAGAUGGGGUAUUAUGUUGGUGAAGCUCUUCUGGUCACUCAAGAGUGUAAUAUACUGAGUGACUUCUCUUGGGUUGUCACUGGGUGACAACAGGAUCAGAUAAAAUGGUAACACUCUUGUGCCGACUCCGUGACCCCUCUGCUGACUGGGGUAAGAGGAUGCUUCGUCAUGAACACGUUGGGCGCAAAGCUAGGCAUUGCUCUUUACAAAGUCACACGCACGUGGUGUGACGAAGGGAGCCAAGAUGUGCGGAUGGUUCCUAGGGGAGAUCAUGGUGCAUAUAGAUUACUUGGAUAAUGGGUCAUUUUCUGGAAAAAUAGCAGUUUUUAAUAAAUGGAUAUGUGAGUCAUUUUCUGGAAAAAUGGUAGUUAAAUGAUUGGGCUAUUUUCUGGAAAAAUUGUGGGUGUUUAAUUUUAUGGAAUGGUUUUUGGCCAAAUGGGAAUUUUGGAGUGUGUUGAAAAGUAUUCAUUUUGGGGGAAACAAUGAUUUUAGGUCUCAUGCAUAUUAUAGCAUGUGCACACAUAUAUGUUGAUUGCAUUGAUAUAUUUUUAUCUCGUGAAUUGUUUGGUUGGUUACUUAAUGAGAUUCACAAUCUCACGUAGUAUUUUUCCCUAUGGUUUUAUUUUAUGGAAUCAUAGAUUUUGAUGUAGUCGAGUACGUUGAGCCUGAGGGAUCGGCUCCGCCGGAGGAGUGAGCUGUAAUAUCCAAGCCCAGGGCCCAAUACCCAGACCCAACCGCACGACAACCCACCCCUUACUUUUUUAGCCGGUGUCAUUUUAGUGAGUAACCUCCCUUCAGUUAUUCUUCUUCUUCCUUCCAAGAUUUAUUCCCCCAUUUUCUUCUCAAAGAUUUUUUUCACCUCACUUUCACAUUUCCGCAGUUACUCCAUCUCUUGAUUUUUUUUUUAAGUUAACUUCCUCUUGUUUACCUCACUCGUAGAAGACCCUCAACUCCUCUUUGAUGAAAUUCUGGAAAAAUUAUGCUCCUCCAUGCCGUGCACCCCCAUUAAUUCGAGCUUUUGCAAGUUAAUUCUUUUCCUCUUUGGUUGUGACAAUGUUGAAGGUUAGACUCAGUGCUAAGAUUAAACGCUGCAAAAGUUGAGGCCCUGUCAUGGAUAUAAUAGUGGCAUAUGGCCUCACCAAGGGUACAAUGUGGCACAAUCCUGGCCCGGGGGUGAAACAUGGAAUACGGCCCAGCCACGAGUAUAAUGGUGGUUUAUAACCCUACAACGGGGGUGAAACAUGGUAUGUGGCCUAGCCAUGGGUAUAAUGGUGGUUUAUAACCCUACCACAUGAGUUAAACAUGGUAUCUGUCCUGAUAUGAUGCUCCCAUGAAAUAUGAAGAUGAUGUUUCAGUUUACAAUAUGCCAAAGGACUUUUGGAAUAAGAAAGCUUUUCUAAAAACUUUGCUUUGAUAUUUUGUAAUAUGUUUUGUUUUUUGCAUUUAGAAAGUGAUUGUUCAGAUUCUACAUUUUGAAAGUAAAGGUUUUGUUAUGCAUUCCAAACUUUGUAAUGCUCAUGUUUACAUACUAUUAUGGUUUCUAUUGAGUUGUUGAUAACUCACCCCCUUAUCUCCAUAACAUUUUUAGAUGACUUUGAUGAUACAAUUAAGGAUCGGUAAUAGAGUAUGUGAUAGGAAUAAUUGAGAGUGGUGGUUGAGUACCUUGGAGUACUAGUGUUGUUGGAAGAUUUAUUUAUUAAGUAAUUUGAUUUUAGUAUAUUUAGAUAUGAUUAUAAAGACUUAAGUAUUAUUUAAGUUCAUUAUGUUAAUAGAGACAUGUGGAGAAGUUAAUUUAUUUUAUUUAGAUUAUUGUAUUGUGGAAUUGAUGGAUUGAUAUGUGUAGUUAAUUAUAUUAGAGGAAAUUAUGUUUGAUUUUGGAGUCUUUACAAAUAUAUUUUGGAUAUGAAAGAUAUGAUAG